rnacentral:pre_miRNA from 1 species
CGGGGUAGGCCGGAUCCCGGGCUGUGUGCAGGCGCCCAGUGCUCCCGGGCCUGCGCUGUUGGAUUCGCGCUCCGGCUGCGCAGCCUCCG